UAACACAGAUGAUGCCUAUCUAACUGUUUAAAAGUAUGGUUCUGCUAUCACUCUGGAUGGACCUGCGUGCAUUAGCUAGUUGGUAGGGGUAACGGCCUACCAAGGCGACGAUGCAUAGCCGAGUUGAGAGACUGAUCGGCCACAUUGGGACUGAGACACGGCCCAAACUCCUACGGGAGGCAGCAGUAGGGAAUCUUCCACAAUGGACGCAAGUCUGAUGGAGCAACGCCGCGUGAGUGAAGAAGGGUUUCGGCUCGUAAAGCUCUGUUGUUGGUGAAGAAGGACAGGGGUAGUAACUAACCUUUGUUUGACGGUAAUCAAUUAGAAAGUCACGGCUAACUACGUGCCAGCAGCCGCGGUAAU
rnacentral:rRNA from 1 species